UCGCAGCCGCUGCGGCCUCCAAUAAUUCCCAGCAGCAGCAACCACAUUCAGCUUCUUUGAGGUUCUUACAGCAACAACAGCCAUUGGGAAUUGGAGAGGCUUCAGCUGCCAGGGUGGGUAAUUACUUGCCCAUAGCUCAAGUACAGGGACACCACCUGAAUUUGCUCGCAUCUCUAUCUGGUCCUCCUCCUCAAUCAUCCGAACAACAAAGGGAUGGUGAUGCCAAUUGAACACCUUUGGAGAGCUUAGCUGUUGUCGUUUGUUAAUGAUGAUGCUGUUGUUUGGUCUCGCUAAUUAAUGAAUGCCUGUUGUCAAUAUUGCAUAUGAAUUUGUACCUCAAGUCCUCUUCAGUUGUGCUGCUUUCCGUUGGUUGGUUGCUUGUUGUGUUUUUUGAAGAGACAAGACAGACAACUCCGCUCCCCUAAUUACCACCUAGGGCUAGUCUUUGUAGAAUUAAGGUGCUUGCUUUUGUUAAUUGCAUUGUUGUGUUCGUGAUGCUGGUAUUGAUAAAUUCUAUAUCCAGUGUUUGUAUUUAGACUUCAGAGUGCUAUUUGUAGCUGUUGUUUGGUUGAUUGAAAUACUCCAAUUCGUGUAAGAUUGUUAGAAAAUAAAGGAAAUUGUUUCACAUUGUUAAUUUUUAGCCUAUUUCCUUGUGUUCUUUCCAUUUGCUAGUUCACUUUUCACGGUGUGAAACUUGUUCUAUUCGGGAAAGCCGGUUACGACGUGCUGCAGGUUCAUCAUUCAAGUUCAAUGCACACAGCCAGUUGUUUGUUCAGGAACAUAUCUGAAUAUAGAAGUAGAAAAAGAAAGAUGAUUCUUAACAGAUGGAAUGCUGCUGCCUUGACAUGAUUGAUUUAUGGAACUUCUCAAAUCUUGCCCAAGUUGAUUUAUGGAACUUCUCAAAUCUUGCCCAAGAUCUUACAAGUUACAAGUACUUCAAAUGGAGUCUCAUUUUUGCGUGGUGAGGAGCUGAGAUUCAAUUGUUUCAACCUUUCUGUUAUGCUGAUGCUGCUGCUACUGCUGCUGCGCGGAUCCAGGUGAAGGAUUUCCUGAAGCCAUUCCGCUUAUGUUAUCUGAACCAGUAAGGAAGUACAGUUUGGAAUUUUGGCAUUUUAAUGAGAUUUCAGACUCUAAGGCUCCAUCUGUAUUUCACAAUGAGAAGGAAAAAUAUAGAACAAGACCUUUGUUGUGUUUAUUCCAGAUAAGAGAUGAAGAACACAAGUGUACCUAUGACAAAAAAUGGCACUGUAAUUCAGACGAUACUUCAUUUCCAAAUUAGUAGGAGGUUUACUUGGAAGGCUCACUGGGUCAGAGAUUAACCAUAGUGCCAAAUUUGAGUUGGUUAAAGUUGCAUGUUGCGUAACUGAAUCGUGUCCUAUCCAUUUUUUUCUCUUUGCUGGUAUUUUGAUGGAUCUAUUUGUUCAGGCUUUACAUCUGCUUAUUGCUAUUCUGAAGAUCUUCUAAUGUUUCUGGUAACAGGAAUCAGUGAGGGAUACAAAGUUAUGUAUCUUGCUGGCGAACCUCGUUCCACAUAAUACAAUUCAGCAACCAGCCAGUAUGCAAGAUCUCAGCAGCAUGAAUGAGAUUUCAGUUGGAGAAAAGAAAGGAUAAGAUGUAAAAAGCUAAAGAAUCUCCUAUACUUACUGAACUUUGCCCAGGAAAAUCCGUGUUUCAUGAAGACUUGGACAUGAUGACAAGAAAAUUUCUCAGCAAAAUAAGCACGCUAGUAGCACAAUCAUGGAUGACUCUAUCUAGAAGGAUAACCCCUGGACUGAGAACUAGAAAUACUUGCAGUAUCCUAAAAAUCCUGUUUUCUUGAAGUUGCUGAAGAAACUGUCGGCUCCCUCUUUCAAAUAGGGAUAGAACCUUGAUUACUGCAUCAUUCUGGGCCUUUGGCCUCAACAGCAGCAAUGAGCUUUAUCAAUCGUCGUGGAGGUUUUCGUUGCAGAGAGGGACUAGGAGAUGGAAACCUUCCAGAACAAGCGGUUGAAUCUUUCUUACCGUUGACUGACAGAAACUGGAGUCCUGUUCUUGCAAGUUUUCUAUGAUGCAUUAGAGUAACAAAUUACAAUCCAUUCACUGAUUGACCCAGCUUCAGGGGCAAAAAUGCAAAGAGAAAAUUUUAGAAGUGUCGCAUGCUAUUGCUUGCUGAUGAUUCCCCACGACGGCUGAUUCUUGUUUCCAAAUUUAGUUGCAGAGUCACGACGGCAUACAAAAGAUUAGGACCAGUGGGUCUGAAUAUGGCUGCUUUAUUGAACUGGAUUUUAUGUUUAUUAAACCUGGUAUUGCCCCUUCAUCUAUAGUUUGUCUUAAAGAAUAAUAGUGCUAAAA